rnacentral:lncRNA from 1 species
CCAUAUUCUACAUCCUAAAGACUCUUCAGUUUAUUGGUCAUAGCCUUCAGAAACAGCAAAGAAAGGAGGUUUGACAAAUCUGUAAGUUUUGAAUAUGUUAAAAUAGUUUAUUGGUUUCCCCAUGAGUCAUGUAUAAACAUGUAUGUAUGCUUGAAAAUAUAUGAAUUUAGAGGAGUAGCCUAAAAAUGAGCUUAAUAAUGGAAAUAAAGAAUUCAAAAAUAAUAAAAGAUACUUUUAUGGUGAAGCUUAGUUUUCUUUGAGUCAACUUAAACUUAUCCAUCCUUUUUUCUCUCUCUUAGUUACCCCCACUAAGAUUAUAAAUGAUUUUUUUAAGGAAUGCAGACAUUUUCAAGCUAGGAAUUUUCAGGCCUUUGAAAAUAGAAGUGAUUCCCAGGUAGGUAGUGUUCCCAGGGGCUGUGUGUGUUAACAGGGGCACUUUUUGCUUCACCUUCAACCUUGUUAAUUUUCCAGUCUAGUUUUCUCUUGCAGAGCACUAAUACAUGAUGACAGAUCAUGUAAUUCUUAUUAAUGUUGUAAAUUAAUCUUGAGUGAUGCCAUGUAAUUUAUGCUUACUCUUGACUGAAAGCACUUUUCCUUUCUCCCUCUCUCUCAUUCUCUCAAAAGCACUGAAAAUAGGGUUCAUCAAUUACUCAGCACUUGUAAUGGAGAGAUGCCAACUGACUUUGAAAUUAUUAGGAAUAUUCUCAAGUUUGCUAAUCUGCCAUAAGGAAGGAGAGAGGAAAGACACAUUUGUUUAUUGAGUAAUACUCAAUUCUUUCUUUUAGUCUCUAAAAUCCUGGGUUUUAAGUGCUGUUAUCACCAUUUUACAGAAGAGAAUUCUGAGGCUGAGAGAGGUUAAAAAGCAUUCUCAGGCCUAUCAUGCUUAGUCAACAGUCAGAAGAAAAUUUAAAAUGUUUGAAUUCUGAAUUAGAAGUCCAUGGUGUGGCCCCAUUCAAUGGGCAGAUAUCUAAGGCAAAUCUUCAGAAUAUAGGCUCGAGCAUUUCAGUUCAAAGAAAUUUCUCGUCAAUUUGAUGCUCCAUACUACAAAACAAAAUUCAGAGAAUAAGUGGUUUAGUUAUAGGAUGGAUUUGUUGACUAGGUGAAUGAGAACAGAAUAUAUUAUCUUUCUAAGAUAGAUAAGGCCCUAGGUUAUUUUACAGGAUUGCCACAUGUCUAAAAGAAGUCCAUUCCUGUACUUGAUUUGCUUUGAUAAAUGUGCCCAUAGUACUCUAACUGUAAUUAUUGUAUCAUUUGCUUCCCUUUCAUCUUGUUCUUUCUAAUUAUUGUUGUUAAAUUUAAUCUAAUCAUCUCAUGGCCAUGAUAUUCAGCAAUAUGUAGAUCUGUAAUUGAGUAUCUGAAGUUCAAUUAAUCACCCAAGUAUCUGAUCUCUUGUUUUUUAACAUUUCCAGCAUGCAUUAUUGUUUAUUAGAGGCUCUCACCUUCCACUUUACUGGUAGUAUGCAAUUCAGUUUUUUAGUGCGCCAUCUACAAUAGAACCAUUGGAUGGAAUUCUUUAAGGUAUGGUGUGUAUGUAAUGAAGAAUUGUAAUGUGAUUUAUUAGAGAGCACAACAGUCAUUAGAAAAUGAAUUCCUUUUGUUAUUCCCCUCCUCUAUUUUUUUUUAAAUAUUUUAUAGCUUCCAGGGAAAAAUAGAAUCCCAGGGAAAAAUAGAAAACACAGGGGCUAGUUUGGCUUUCAGAAUCUUAAAAAAAUAAUAAUAAUAAUGUCAUGAUUUUCAGCAGCACUGUGGAAGAGGUCAGGCUCUAUGUUAAGCCUACUUCAGGGAAAGCAAAUUUCACAAUGUUCUAUUAUUGGCAUUUUUUUUUUUUUCCAAAUUUUGCCCCAGUCAGCUGCCUUUUCCUCUGCAAUGCAUGACGCAUAACUCCUCCCUCAUCAAAGACUCAAUUAGGAAAAAAAUAUUAGCAAAAAGAACAAAUAAGCAAGUUUUGAUGGUCUUGCUUUGUGGCUUGUGUCUCCUUUUUUGGUUCUUCAAGUCUAAGACCUCUUUAGUCAGUCUCUCUAACCUUUCCAGACCUUCUAGUACCCAUCAAUCAUAAGUGUAUUCUUUGGGUGUGCUCUCCUUUUGUAUUAGCAAUGAUAAAUCCAAAAUUCUAACUUGCAUAGAUUUACAUUACAGGAAGCAGGAAGAAGCAGGCUUUGUCUUUAUGUAUCAGGAUUAACUGUGGAUCUUUUUAAAAAUGCAGAUUCCUAGUAGGAACAGUGGAAUCCUAAUUUAAUAAGAUUCAAGUGGUGCCAGAGAGGCUGUGUUCUUCAAAGUUCUACUAAUGCACUUUUGAAAGGCGCAAAAGGAAAUAAGACCGAUCCAGAAAUUCAUUAUUUCUCUCCAAUUUUUCCUUUUCCCAUCUGAGCCGAGCCUGGAAGUGCACAGACACAUUAGGGAAUGUUUCCACUGUGUGGGAGAAACAUCUGCAGAGUAUGCCUUAGACCACCAGAAGUGGAGAGAAAGAAGCAUGUGGGGGUGGAGGCAGCAGACACGAAAAAGAAAAACUGGGAGCUGAUGAGGCCCAAACAUCCAACUAAUUGCCUAACCUUCAGUUUACCUUUUCCAUUACAUAAGACAUCUAAGAGCUAUAAUAUUCAUGUGAAAAACAGUUUUUCAGUAUGGUGGUGAAAGAGAGUUCAUAGCACACCUUUCAAUUUUUUUUUUUUUUUUUUUUUUCUGUACCUGUGGGAAAAAGAUAGCCUUCCACUUUGCCCUUCACUCUCGAUAGCACCUUAGCUGGAUGUUCUUGGGUUUCUUCCUACUGGUCCUUGGCAGCCAUUUAUUAAGAUGGCCGUGCGCAAGCCCAGGAGCUGCAGGCCUCUGCUCUAUCCAGAGGGAAGCACAGUGAAGACAGAGAUGCAUUCUGAGAAAUUUCCUUAUGAAACAUCAGGGGCAAAAGGGGCUUUGAAAAUGCAAAUGAUUAUCAUUAGAAAGUAAUAUGCAACUACCGAAGAAACAUUUGAAAGAAUAAUGUGGUCUAGCAAAACAAUCCCGAAAUCUGCAUUCAAUCACUACUGUCCCAAAAUGCUUGCAGUGGUCCUUUGUAUUGUUGGGAGCCAAAUGCUUUCUGGAAUUCAUGAAGCCAGUUGUACCAAGUGGCAAAUUACCAACAGAAUAUUGUUGAAAAAACAACCAGCCUUAGAGUGGAACUUUCCAGUAAAGGGGAGACUCUUCAACUAUAAUGGCCAAGGUACUGAGAGUGACAAGAAUAUUGAUAUGCAUGCCUGUAACUGCUCACAGAUGAGUUUUUUGGAUUAGUUUGUUUUAGUCUACACCGUGUGGAACUGGACAUCAUGUCCACCAAAUAGCUUAUAUAUAAGGAUAAUUAAAAUUCAGUAUAUAAAAUUUUGAAAAUUAUAUGGGAUAGAGCUAUAUUUAGGAGAUUGGACAGGAAGAAUACAUACCAUGAACUUUUGGAACUGACUUAAUUUUGAUUCUAGGCCGAUUUAAUAAGGCUCUUCACUGCAGUGGUAUCAAAAUGCUACUAACCUUAUUCUCACAGAAAACAAGACACAUAUUCUUUAGAGAUCAUAGUUUUCACCAUUCAUCUUUGGUUCGGAGCCUUAAGGAGCAAGGCUCUUGGGCUCUAAUCUUCCAAAAGAGAGCUCUAGCCCUGGCUAUGAUUAAGUUUCAGACAAACCAUCUCCCUUCGCCCUUCGCAGUCCACACCUGGCAUCCAUGAGAAGAGCAGCCUCCUCGGGACAUAGACUGGCAGUCACGAGGCAGAAGCCCUGCUGUCUUUCAUGAAAGAACUACUUAUCCCAGAGCAAUAUAUCAUCUAUAGCCAAAGUGUGUGGUUUAGGAGAUGUCAAGCAUACUCAGAAAUCCUAGGCCUCAUUCAUUUGCCCACCAGAAACAGAAAUAUAUUCAUAAGAAGUCUUUUCAACAAAAUACCAUAAAGUUAGAAAGGAGUUGAGGCCCAGUGUGUUUACUGCCAAAAAAAUAGACAAGCAAACUGAAAGACCUUAGGUUUUCUCAUUUAAAGCCUUUUAGUUUAUUUUUCUGAAAGGGAGUGAUAAAAUUUGUUAAAAUCAAUAUUCAACCGAAGUAUGCAUUGAAUCUUAACAGUCAAUAUUCUGGAGAAGGUUUAAGAGAAUAUUCUUAUGUUAUUCUUAUGUUAUAGAAAAGGUUUAAGAGAAUAGUUUUUAAAUUUGUAUCAUUAAUGCCAGUAUCACACAAUAAAACAGUUUAUUUGUAGCUCUCCUGAUUCUUUUAAAAAAUAAACUUUCUUUUCUUUUUCUCUAAUCCCUCCCUCCCUCUUUUCCUUCUUUCCUUCUUUCCUUCCUUCCUCCCUCCCUCCCUUCUUUCCUUUCUGCCUUCCUUCCUUUCUUUCUUUGCUUUUCUCCAAAGAGAAAAGACAUUUUAUUCAUUUUAAAGCUCUAGAAAUUUGAAUUCAAAUGAGCAUUCUGGUAUUUGUGAUACAGAUUAAAUGUAGGAUAAUUGUCAAAAUACUCAGAUUUAUAGAUAUGGGAAGAUUAAAUUAAGGGCUAUUUCCCCAGGAGGUAUUGCUUUUUAACAGUGUUUUUAAGCAAUUUAUUAAAUAUGCUAUUUUCUGUCUCAUUAAAAUAUGUUUAACAAUAACAAUCACAUUUUAGAAAACUGUACUUGAAAAGGGGCAUUUUACAUAUUUAGUAAACUGAAAAAAAUCCAUAAAUUGUUGUUGCACCUCUUAUGGCAUUGAAGAAUGUUAAUUUUAACUGAGUUUUUACUUGAAUAUAAUUCAGUGAUGUUAAAGGCCUGAUUCAGUCUAAUCUAACUGCAGUUUGGCUGCCAAAUAUGUCAUAGAUACUAACAGGUUAUCAAUUUCUUGCCUUAUGCGUUAACUCCUUGGACCUUCACAUCGACACUAUUAAGUAGUCAUUAUGUCCAUUUUAUAGCUGAGAAAACUGAGCCUUUAAAAAAGUAAGCAACUUGCUAAAAGUCAUACAGUAGUGAAACAGAAGGAGAACCAGGAGCUUUUGAAUCUAGAAUCUGGUAUAUUACCUCAUCUCUCACUGAACUAAAAUCCACGAACAAAAUCUAGACAAAUAAAUGUGGUUAAUCCUGGUUUUUAUUCGAGGAUACUUUUUCAUCUAAAGCAUGAAGUUAACAUUUCACAUGUUUGAAAUAGAAACAUCAGAAUAUCAUGAGAGGUAAUAAAAAAAUGAGCAUUUGCAAACUUCCAACACUCAAUUCCUUGUUCCUUUUCACCCUGUUGAAUAGAUUGGUACCAUGGGAUCCAUUUACUUGGGUCUUCUUCCAACUGUGUGGGUUUUGGAUGCGAGAAAUUUUAUUUUCUCUGAAGUCAGGAAGGAGAAAGGAAAAUAUAGAAAGAGGAUGAAUUAGAUAUAUAAAGGCAGAACCCUUCCGAUUGCUAAUAUAUGCCAUCAUGAUAAGUAAUAAAAAA